CCUACGGGCGGCAGCAGUGAGGAAUAUUGGUCAAUGGGCGAGAGCCUGAACCAGCCAAGUCGCGUGAAGGAUGACGGCCCUACGGGUUGUAAACUUCUUUUGUCAGGGAGCAAUUUGGUCCACGCGUGGGCUUAGCGAGAGUAGCUGCAGAAAAAGCAUCGGCUAACUACGUGCCAGCCGCCGCGGUAAUACGGAGGAUGCGAGCGUUAUCCGGAUUUAUUGGGUUUAAAGGGUGCGUUGGCGGAAUAUCAAGUCAGCGGUAAAAAUUCGGGGCUCAACCCCGUCGUGCCGUUGAAACUGAUGAUCUUGAGUGGGCGAGAGGUAUGCGGAAUGCGUGGUGUAGCGGUGAAAUGCAUAGAUAUAACGAAGAACUCCGAUUGCGAAGGCAGCAUACCGGCGCCCAACUGACGCUGAAGGACGAAAGCGUGGGUAUCGAACAGGAUUAGAUACCCCAGUAGUC
rnacentral:rRNA from 1 species